rnacentral:rRNA from 1 species
AGUGAACGCUGGCGGUAGGCCUAACACAUGCAAGUCGAACGGCAGCACGGUAAGAGCUUGCUCUUACGGGUGGCGAGUGGCGGACGGGUGAGGAAUACAUCGGAAUCUACUUUUUCGUGGGGGAUAACGUAGGGAAACUUCCGCUAAUACCGCAUACGACCUACGGGUGAAAGCAGGGGAUCUUCGGACCUUGCGCGAUUGAAUGAGCCGAUGUCGGAUUAGCUAGUUGGCGGGGUAAAGGCCCACCAAGGCGACGAUCCGUAGCUGGUCUGAGAGGAUGAUCAGCCACACUGGAACUGAGACACGGUCCAGACUCCUACGGGAGGCAGCAGUGGGGAAUAUUGGACAAUGGGCGCAAGCCUGAUACAGCCAUACCGCGUGGGUGAAGAAGGCCUUCGGGUUGUAAAGCCCUUUUGUUGGGAAAGAAAAGCAGCAGGUUAAUACCCCGCUGUUCUGACGGUACCCAAAGAAUAAGCACCGGCUAACUUCGUG